AUGCAUGGCUGUUGUGGUUACUCUCUCACUCAUAGAGAGUAGAGACAUGAAGCCAUGCUAGAAUAACAUGCUUCGAGUCAUCAGGGCCACCAGUCUCUCAAGAACAGACUGUGUUGGUAGUAUAAAACUCGCACAUUA
rnacentral:snoRNA from 1 species